rnacentral:rRNA from 1 species
GAUCCUGGCUCAGAAUCAACGCUGGCGGCGUGCCUAACACAUGCAAGUCGAACGAGAAAGUGGAGCAAUCCAUGAGUAAAGUGGCGCACGGGUGAGUAACACGUGACUAACCUACCUUUUAGUGGGGGAUAACCUAGGGAAACCUGGGCUAAUACCGCAUAACACUUACGAGUCAAAGCAGCAAUGCGCUGAAAGAGGGGGUCGCGGCCGAUUAGCUAGUUGGCGGGGUAAUGGCCCACCAAGGCAGUGAUCGGUAUCCGGCCUGAGAGGGCGCACGGACACACUGGAACUGAAACACGGUCCAGACUCCUACGGGAGGCAGCAG